rnacentral:rRNA from 4 species
AGCAACAAAUGCCCUGCUUCCAGGAAAAGCCUCUAAGCAUCAGGUAACAUCAAAUCGUACCCCAAACCGACACAGGUGGUCAGGUAGAGAAUACCAAGGCGCUUGAGAGAACUCGGGUGAAGGAACUAGGCAAAAUGGUGCCGUAACUUCGGGAGAAGGCACGCUGACACGUAGGUGAAGUGAUUUACUCAUGGAGCUGAAGUCAGUCGAAGAUACCAGCUGGCUGCAACUGUUUAUUAAAAACACAGCACUGUGCAAACACGAAAGUGGACGUAUACGGUGUGACGCCUGCCCGGUGCCGGAAGGUUAAUUGAUGGGGUCAGCGCAAGCGAAGCUCCUGAUCGAAGCCCCGGUAAACGGCGGCCGUAACUAUAACGGUCCUAAGGUAGCGAAAUUCCUUGUCGGGUAAGUUCCGACCUGCACGAAUGGCGUAAUGAUGGCCAGGCUGUCUCCACCCGAGACUCAGUGAAAUUGAACUCGCUGUGAAGAUGCAGUGUACCCGCGGCAAGACGGAAAGACCCCGUGAACCUUUACUAUAGCUUGACACUGAACAUUGAGCCUUGAUGUGUAGGAUAGGUGGGAGGCUUUGAAGUGUGGACGCCAGUCUGCAUGGAGCCGACCUUGAAAUACCACCCUUUAAUGUUUGAUGUUCUAACGUGGACCCGUAAUCCGGGUUGCGGACAGUGUCUGGUGGGUAGUUUGACUGGGGCGGUCUCCUCCUAAAGAGUAACGGAGGAGCACGAAGGUUGGCUAAUCCUGGUCGGACAUCAGGAGGUUAGUGCAAUGGCAUAAGCCAGCUUGACUGCGAGCGUGACGGCGCGAGCAGGUGCGAAAGCAGGUCAUAGUGAUCCGGUGGUUCUGAAUGGAAGGGCCAUCGCUCAACGGAUAAAAGGUACUCCGGGGAUAACAGGCUGAUACCGCCCAAGAGUUCAUAUCGACGGCGGUGUUUGGCACCUCGAUGUCGGCUCAUCACAUCCUGGGGCUGAAGUAGGUCCCAAGGGUAUGGCUGUUCGCCAUUUAAAGUGGUACGCGAGCUGGGUUUAGAACGUCGUGAGACAGUUCGGUCCCUAUCUGCCGUGGGCGCUGGAGAACUGAGGGGGGCUGCUCCUAGUACGAGAGGACCGGAGUGGACGCAUCACUGGUGUUCGGGUUGUCAUGCCAAUGGCACUGCCCGGUAGCUAAAUGCGGAAGAGAUAAGUGCUGAAAGCAUCUAAGCACGAAACUUGCCCCGAGAUGAGUUCUCCCUGAGACUUAGAGUCUCCUGAAGGAACGUUGAAGACGACGACGUUGAUAGGCCGGGUGUGUAAGCGCAGCGAUGCGUUGAGCUAACCGGUACUAAUGAACCGUGAGGCUUAACCUUACAAC